rnacentral:rRNA from 1 species
AUUGAACGCUGGCGGCAUGCUUUACACAUGCAAGUCGAACGGUAACAGGUUAAGCUGACGAGUGGCGAACGGGUGAGUAAUGCAUCGGAACGUGCCCGAUCGUGGGGGAUAACGCAGCGAAAGCUGCGCUAAUACCGCAUACGAUCUGAGGAUGAAAGCGGGGGACCGUAAGGCCUCGCGCGAUCGGAGCGGCCGAUGUCAGAUUAGGUAGGUGGGGGGGUAAAGGCUCACAAAGCCAACGAUCUGUAGCUGGUCUGAGAGGACGACCAGCCACACUGGGACUGAGACACGGCCCAGACUCCUACGGGAGGCAGCAGUGGGGAAUUUUGGACAAUGGGCGAAAGCCUGAUCCAGCAAUGCCGCGUGCAGGAAGAAGGCCUUCGGGUUGUAAACUGCUUUUGUACGGAGCGAAAAGGCCCUCUCUAAUACAGUGGGCUCAUGACGGUACCGUAAGAAUAAGCACCGGCUAACUACGUGCCAGCCGCCGCAGUAA